rnacentral:rRNA from 1 species
AGCUUGCUACCUGACCUAGCGGCGGACGGGUGAGUAAUGCUUAGGAAUUUGCCUAUUAGUGGGGGACAACAUUCCGAAAGGAAUGCUAAUACCGCAUACGCCCUACGGGGGAAAGCAGGGGAUCUUCGGACCUUGCGCUAAUAGAUGAGCCUAAGUCAGAUUAGCUAGUUGGUGGGGUAAAGGCCUACCAAGGCGACGAUCUGUAGCGGGUCUGAGAGGAUGAUCCGCCACACUGGGACUGAGACACGGCCCAGACUCCUACGGGAGGCAGCAGUGGGGAAUAUUGGACAAUGGGCGAAAGCCUGAUCCAGCCAUGCCGCGUGUGUGAAGAAGGCCUUUUGGUUGUAAAGCACUUUAAGCGAGGAGGAGGCUACUGAGAUUAAUACUCUUGGAUAGUGGACGUUACUCGCAGAAUAAGCACCGGCUAACUCUGUGCCAGCAGCCGCGGUAAUACAGAGGGUGCGAGCGUUAAUCGGAUUUACUGGGCGUAAAGCGUGCGUAGGCGGCUUUUUAAGUCGGAUGUGAAAUCCCUGAGCUUAACUUAGGAAUUGCAUUCGAUACUGGGAAGCUAGAGUAUGGGAGAGGAUGGUAGAAUUCCAGGUGUAGCGGUGAAAUGCGUAGAGAUCUGGAGGAAUACCGAUGGCGAAGGCAGCCAUCUGGCCUAAUACUGACGCUGAGGUACGAAAGCAUGGGGAGCAAACAGGAUUAGAUACCCUGGUAGUCCAUGCCGUAAACGAUGUCUACUAGCCGUUGGGGCCUUUGAGGCUUUAGUGGCGCAGCUAACGCGAUAAGUAGACCGCCUGGGGAGUACGGUCGCAAGACUAAAACUCAAAUGAAUUGACGGGGGCCCGCACAAGCGGUGGAGCAUGUGGUUUAAUUCGAUGCAACGCGAAGAACCUUACCUGGUCUUGACAUAGUAAGAACUUUCCAGAGAUGGAUUGGUGCCUUCGGGAACUUACAUACAGGUGCUGCAUGGCUGUCGUCAGCUCGUGUCGUGAGAUGUUGGGUUAAGUCCCGCAACGAGCGCAACCCUUUUCCUUAUUUGCCAGCGGGUUAAGCCGGGAACUUUAAGGAUACUGCCAGUGACAAACUGGAGGAAGGCGGGGACGACGUCAAGUCAUCAUGGCCCUUACGACCAGGGCUACACACGUGCUACAAUGGUCGGUACAAAGGGUUGCUACCUAGCGAUAGGAUGCUAAUCUCAAAAAGCCGAUCGUAGUCCGGAUUGGAGUCUGCAACUCGACUCCAUGAAGUCG